UGGCUCAGAGCGAACGUUAGCGGCGGGCCUAACACAUGCAAGUCGCACGAGAAAGUGGCUUCGGCCAUGAGUAAAGUGGCGGACGGGUGAGUAACACGUGGGUAAUCUGCCCUCUGGCGGGGGAUAACUGUCCGAAAGGAUAGCUAAUACCGCAUACGUCGGCGAGGUCUCCGGACCUUGUCGGGAAAGCCGGCCUCUUCAUGAAAGCUGGCGCUGGAGGAGGAACCCGCGGCCCAUCAGCUAGUUGGUGAGGUAAUGGCUCACCAAGGCGAAGACGGGUAGCUGGUCUGAGAGGAUGAUCAGCCACACUGGGACUGAGACACGGCCCAGACUCCUACGGGAGGCAGCAGUGGGGAAUCUUGCGCAAUGCGCGAAAGCGUGACGCAGCAACGCCGCGUGGGGGAAGAAGGCCUUCGGGUUGUAAACCCCUUUCAGGAGGGACGAAGGCACGGCGGUGAACAGCCGUCCGUGCUGACGGUACCUCCAGAAGAAGCCCCGGCUAACUACGUGCCAGCAGCCGCGGUAA
rnacentral:rRNA from 1 species